rnacentral:tRNA from 1 species
UCCCUGGUGGUCUAGUGGUUAGGAUUUGGCACUUUCACUGCUGUGGCCAGAGUUCAAUCUCUGGUCUGGGAG